UAGGGAAUAUUGGACAAUGGGGGCAACCCUGAUCCAGCGACGCCGCGUGUGUGAAGAAGGCCUGCGGGUUGUAAAGCACUUUUAGUGGGGAUGAAAAGCUCAGGGCUAAUACCCUUGAGUCUUGACCUAACCCAAAGAAAAAGCACCGGCUAACUCUGUGCCAGCAGCCGCGGUAAUACAGAGGGUGCAAGCGUUAAUCGGAAUUACUGGGCGUAAAGCGUGCGUAGACGGUUUUGUAAGUCGGAUGUGAAAUCCCCGGGCUCAACCUGGGAAUUGCAUUCGAAACUGCAAAGCUAGGGUGCGGAAGAGGGAAGCGGAAUUUCCGGUGUAGCGGUGAAAUGCGUAGAUAUCGGAAGGAACAUCAGUGGCGAAGGCGGCUUCCUGGUCCAGCACCGACGUUCAGGCACGAAAGCGUGGGGAGCAAACAGGAUUAGAUACCCUGGUAGUCCACGCCAUAAACGAUGAGAACUAGACGUUGAGAGGGUAAGCCUCCCAGUGUCGUAGCUAACGCGCUAAGUUCUCCGCCUGGGGAGUACGGCCGCAAGGU
rnacentral:rRNA from 1 species